UGGGGAAUAUUGCACAAUGGGCGCAAGCCUGAUGCAGCCAUGCCGCGUGUAUGAAGAAGGCCUUCGGGUUGUAAAGUACUUUCAGCGAGGAGGAAGGCGUUGUGGUUAAUAACCGCAGCGAUUGACGUUACUCGCAGAAGAAGCACCGGCUAACUCCGUGCCAGCAGCCGCGGUAAUACGGAGGGUGCAAGCGUUAAUCGGAAUUACUGGGCGUAAAGCGCACGCAGGCGGUCUGUCAAGUCGGAUGUGAAAUCCCCGGGCUCAACCUGGGAACUGCAUCCGAAACUGGCAGGCUAGAGUCUUGUAGAGGGGGGUAGAAUUCCAGGUGUAGCGGUGAAAUGCGUAGAGAUCUGGAGGAAUACCGGUGGCGAAGGCGGCCCCCUGGACAAAGACUGACGCUCUGGUUCGAAAGCGUGUUCAGCAAACA
rnacentral:rRNA from 1 species